rnacentral:rRNA from 1 species
CUGGGGCGGUCUCCUCCUAAAGAGUAACGGAGGAGCACGAAGGUUGGCUAAUCCUGGUCGGACAUCAGGAGGUUAGUGCAAUGGCAUAAGCCAGCUUGACUGCGAGCGUGACGGCGCGAGCAGGUGCGAAAGCAGGUCAUAGUGAUCCGGUGGUUCUGAAUGGAAGGGCCAUCGCUCAACGGAUAAAAGGUACUCCGGGGAUAACAGGCUGAUACCGCCCAAGAGUUCAUAUCGACGGCGGUGUUUGGCACCUCGAUGUCGGCUCAUCACAUCCUGGGGCUGAAGUAGGUCCCAAGGGUAUGGCUGUUCGCCAUUUAAAGUGGUACGCGAGCUGGGUUUAGAACGUCGUGAGACAGUUCGGUCCCUAUCUGCCGUGGGCGCUGGAGAACUGAGGGGGGCUGCUCCUAGUACGAGAGGACCGGAGUGGACGCAUCACUGGUGUUCGGGUUGUCAUGCCAAUGGCACUGCCCGGUAGCUAAAUGCGGAAGAGAUAAGUGCUGAAAGCAUCUAAGCACGAAACUUGCCCCGAGAUGAGUUCUCCCUGAGACUUAAAGUCUCCUGAAGGAACGUUGAAGACGACGACGUUGAUAGGCCGGGUGUGUAAGCGCAGCGAUGCGUUGAGCUAACCGGUACUAAUGAACCGUGAGGCUUAACCUUACAACGCCGAAG